UGAAAUGCCUGAAUUUCCAGAGGAAAGAAUUCAAAAUUCUCAGGAAGUGGAUACGUUAAAAUAGAUAUAUUGUAAGGGAACGGAACAUCUUCCAGAGGAUUAUAUUCCAAGAGAAGUCCUAAAAGAUGUACCAUUCACUAACUGAUGAAUGCGGCCAUCAAAAACAUUCAGGAGUGUUUUCUAUGAGCUAACAGUGGGAGAGUCUGUCCUAAAAUUGUGUUGCUGAUAACAAUGGGGUGAUGGGGCCCAAAAUAGAGGUCAGGUAGCAUCACUUAAUAGCCAGAAGCCAGGGAUCAUACUUACAACCACCAAUAAGAUGGGAAUGUCCCAGAACCCAUAGAGAGUUAUGGGGAUAGUAAAUAAAAUAUAGUGCUCCUAAGGGCAAAAUCUGUUGGCAGCCUACAAGAGCAAUGCUUAAUAUAUUAUAACCAUAGAAGAACAAGAAUGGAUGAUCACGAGGCUGAGGAAGGUGCCUUAAUAAAAUGUCAUGACCCCUUGCUUAAUUUUCAGUCCUUAGUCAGUUUCCAGACACAGAACUAACUGGCUAAAAAAAAGGGCUGAUCCCUAGGAGAAACGAACCUGCAACACUACAAGUAUGUACUGUAAAAAUUUCACCAGGUCCUUUCCCCAGAAAACCUAUGGUCCUUCAUUCAAGUGGUAAUGUACCAGGGAAAUAGAAACCCCCAGAUGUCUCAAGGAUUGAGUUGACAUUGAGACCAGAGACCCAAAGCAUCAUCCAAGCCAAGCUGUUAGAGCAGAAAUAUAGAAUUUAGAAAAUAAAUGAAAUCUUUAACAAAAUUCAGUUUGCACUGGAUUUGCUGCAUUUGUGGACCUAGCUGGAGAUCAUUUUUCCAGUCCCCAGAUGAAUAACUGUGACUGAUAUACUUAGGUCCUUGCACUGUGGAUUAACAGCUGUCAUUGUGAGGAAAGCUGAGUGGAAGCUUCAGAAACUGUCUAUCCUAGCCAAGAUGGUGAAUGAAUUACAUACAUCUCAGAAUGGCAGAAAUGAGUCAACUUCUUAAAGAUCUAAGGGGUGCAGGCUAGUGAUCUCUUUUUUAUCUCGAUUUGAUUCAACAGUCUGGCACCUGUAGAAAUGAGAUGAAUAAUUAAGAACAACUAUAGACUAGGGCAAACUUAACCAGGUAGUAGCUCUAAUUAUGACAGGAGGAUGUAGUAGAGCAGUUUGACAUAGCUUCAGGUCUAUGGUUUAUUGCCAACUAUUUGGCACAUUUUUUCUAUUUCUUACAGGAAAGAAGAUCAGAAACAAUUUGAAA
rnacentral:lncRNA from 1 species